rnacentral:rRNA from 1 species
AAAUGAAACUAGAUACAAGCGAGCGGCGGACGGGUGAGUAACACGUGGGUAACCUGCCCAAGAGACUGGGAUAACACCUGGAAACAGAUGCUAAUACCGGAUAACAACACUAGACGCAUGUCUAGAGUUUGAAAGAUGGUUCUGCUAUCACUCUUGGAUGGACCUGCGGUGCAUUAGCUAGUUGGUAAGGUAACGGCUUACCAAGGCAAUGAUGCAUAGCCGAGUUGAGAGACUGAUCGGCCACAUUGGGACUGAGACACGGCCCAAACUCCUACGGGAGGCAGCAGUAGGGAAUCUUCCACAAUGGACGAAAGUCUGAUGGAGCAACGCCGCGUGAGUGAAGAAGGGUUUCGGCUCGUAAAGCUCUGUUGGUAGUGAAGAAAGAUAGAGGUAGUAACUGGCCUUUAUUUGACGGUAAUUACUUAGAAAGUCACGGCUAACUACGUGCCAGCAGCCGCGGUAAUACGUAGGUGGCAAGCGUUGUCCGGAUUUAUUGGGCGUAAAGCGAGUGCAGGCGGUUCAAUAAGUCUGAUGUGAAAGCCUUCGGCUCAACCGGAGAAUUGCAUCAGAAACUGUUGAACUUGAGUGCAGAAGAGGAGAGUGGAACUCCAUGUGUAGCGGUGGAAUGCGUAGAUAUAUGGAAGAACACCAGUGGCGAAGGCGGCUCUCUGGUCUGCAACUGACGCUGAGGCUCGAAAGCAUGGGUA